CGGUGAGCCACAGCCACCCCCCGCCUCUGCAGGAGACCCUCCAACACUAGCAGGGAACUGAUAACCUGGUGUCUAAAGUGUGUAGAGAGAAUCUUGGAAGAAACUUCAGGAAAGGAAGAAACAAGGCCAUCAAAACCUUCAAAGCGAAUAAGGAAUAAAGUUGAGUUGGAGAAUGCUCCCUCAUCUAUAAAAUAUGUGCACCAGCCGUUCUUGUGUGCUGAGUGUGUGUGAGGCACCAGACUCUUAACACACCUUAUCUCAUUUGAUCUUCAUGAAACCGGGUGGCAUUAUCAGUUGCAUUUUGUCGAUGAGGAAGCUGAGUCUCAGAGAGAUGAGAUGAUUUACCUGUGGUCACUGCGAGGAGGCCACAAUCAGAAGCCCAGACAGAAAAGAGCAUCACGGACUAUGGCCUGGGGCCUUCAACAACCAGGAAGGAGAGAAGCCCAGAAAAGAGACAGAGGAGUGGCCAGUGAAAUGAGGAAGAUCAGAAAAGCCUGAUGUCCAGGAAGCCAAGUGAAGAAAGUAGAUUCUGUGUGACCACAAUCACAUGUCAACUCCUGAGCCUCAGUUUUCUCAUCCAUGAAAUGGUGAGAGUAACAACUGCCCACUUCAUGGUGUUGUUAGGAUUGAGGCAAUGUAUGUAAAGCAGUUAACACUUGUGUCUGACUGGUAUAUAGGAAACUCUCAGUCUAUGGUAGCAUUGUUAUUAUUUCCUCCACUUCAGAGUAGGCUGCCACAGCCCUCAGCUUCCCCAUCCACAUAAGUGACUGCACCUCCAUGAGUCCUUCUCAGAAAUGAGGUGUUCCUGCUCACUCAGGCAACCAGGUGGUCCUGACGAGUGGCCUCUGGGUCAAAUUUGAACCAAGUGACUUCAGUGCCUAAACCUCUCACCCACACAGCUUCCAGCCCUUACUUGCAAAUCAACAAGUGGUAAAUAAAGGUUUUAGAGCCAGAAUUCUGCCUCUGCCUCUCACCAGCUGUGGGAUCCUAAGCAAGCUUCUUAAACUUCCUGAGCCUUGAAUUCUAUCUGUAAAAUGGGAACAAUUCCUACUUCAUGACAUUGUGUCCAGGCCCGCGCGGACUAUAAAUAAAGCCGGCUGAUCUCCUCCUGCAUGGCGGCGUGGGAGUCACUGGGGCUCUUUGACACCCUCCCACGCAUCCCCACAACCUAGCUGGGCGGGUCUCUUGGAUCCCCUAACCUGCGCUGUAGGACAGUUAGCUCAGA